CGAAAGGCGUCAGAAGAGGAGUCCGCGGCCGAUUAGCUAGUUGGUGAGGUAAAAGCUCACCAAGGCGACGAUCGGUAGCCGGCCUGAGAGGGCACACGGCCACACUGGCACUGAAACACGGGCCAGACUCCUACGGGAGGCAGCAGUGGGGAAUCUUGCACAAUGGGGGAAACCCUGAUGCAGCGACGCCGCGUGAACGAUGAAGCCCUUCGGGGUGUAAAGUUCUUUCGGCAGGGACGAUUAUGACUGUACCUGCAGAAGCAGCUGCGGCUAACUACGUGCCAGCAGCCGCGGUAAUACGUAGGCAGCAAGCGUUGUUCGGAAUUACUGGGCGUAAAGAGUGCGUAGGUGGUUGACUAAGUUUGGUGUGAAAUCUCCCGGCUUAACUGGGAGGGUGCGCCGAAAACUGGUUGGCUAUGAGUGUGGGAGAGAGAAAGCGGAAUUCCAGGUGUAGCGGUGAAAUGCGUAU
rnacentral:rRNA from 1 species